rnacentral:rRNA from 1 species
GGGCGUAGCAAUACGUCAGCGGCAGACGGGUGAGUAACGCGUGGGAACGUACCUUUUGGUUCGGAACAACACAGGGAAACUUGUGCUAAUACCGGAUAAGCCCUUACGGGGAAAGAUUUAUCGCCGAAAGAUCGGCCCGCGUCUGAUUAGCUAGUUGGUAGGGUAACGGCCUACCAAGGCGACGAUCAGUAGCUGGUCUGAGAGGAUGAUCAGCCACAUUGGGACUGAGACACGGCCCAAACUCCUACGGGAGGCAGCAGUGGGGAAUAUUGGACAAUGGGGGCAACCCUGAUCCAGCCAUGCCGCGUGAGUGAUGAAGGCCCUAGGGUUGUAAAGCUCUUUUGUGCGGGAAGAUAAUGACGGUACCGCAAGAAUAAGCCCCGGCUAACUUCGUGCCAGCAGCCGCGGUAAUACGAAGGGGGCUAGCGUUGCUCGGAAUCACUGGGCGUAAAGGGUGCGUAGGCGGGUCUUUAAGUCAGGGGUGAAAUCCUGGAGCUCAACUCCAGAACUGCCUUUGAUACUGAAGAUCUUGAGUUCGGGAGAGGUGAGUGGAACUGCGAGUGUAGAGGUGAAAUUCGUAGAUAUUCGCAAGAACACCAGUGGCGAAGGCGGCU